GCGAACGGGGAGCAGCCCAGAGCCUGAAUCAGUGUGUGUGUUAGUGGAAGCGUCUGGAAAGGCGCGUGAUACAGGGUGACAGCCCCGUACACAAAAAUGCACAUGCUGUGAGCUCGAUGAGUAGGGCGGGACACGUGGUAUCCUGUCUGAAUAUGGGGGGACCAUCCUCCAAGGCUAAAUACUCCUGACUGACCGAUAGUGAACCAGUACCGUGAGGGAAAGGCGAAAAGAACCCCGGCGAGGGGAGUGAAAAAGAACCUGAAACCGUGUACGUACAAGCAGUGGGAGCACGCUUAGGCGUGUGACUGCGUACCUUUUGUAUAAUGGGUCAGCGACUUAUAUUCUGUAGCAAGGUUAACCGAAUAGGGGAGCCGAAGGGAAACCGAGUCUUAACUGGGCGUUAAGUUGCAGGGUAUAGACCCGAAACCCGGUGAUCUAGCCAUGGGCAGGUUGAAGGUUGGGUAACACUAACUGGAGGACCGAACCGACUAAUGUUGAAAAAUUAGCGGAUGACUUGUGGCUGGGGGUGAAAGGCCAAUCAAACCGGGAGAUAGCUGGUUCUCCCCGAAAGCUAUUUAGGUAGCGCCUCGUGAAUUCAUCUCCGGGGGUAGAGCACUGUUUCGGCAAGGGGGUCAUCCCGACUUACCAACCCGAUGCAAACUGCGAAUACCGGAGAAUGUUAUCACGGGAGACACACGGCGGGUGCUAACGUCCGUCGUGAAGAGGGAAACAACCCAGACCGCCAGCUAAGGUCCCAAAGUCAUGGUUAAGUGGGAAACGAUGUGGGAAGGCCCAGACAGCCAGGAUGUUGGCUUAGAAGCAGCCAUCAUUUAAAGAAAGCGUAAUAGCUCACUGGUCGAGUCGGCCUGCGCGGAAGAUGUAACGGGGCUAAACCAUGCACCGAAGCUGCGGCAGCGACGCUUAUGCGUUGUUGGGUAGGGGAGCGUUCUGUAAGCCUGUGAAGGUGUACUGUGAGGUAUGCUGGAGGUAUCAGAAGUGCGAAUGCUGACAUAAGUAACGAUAAAGCGGGUGAAAAGCCCGCUCGCCGGAAGACCAAGGGUUCCUGUCCAACGUUAAUCGGGGCAGGGUGAGUCGACCCCUAAGGCGAGGCCGAAAGGCGUAGUCGAUGGGAAACAGGUUAAUAUUCCUGUACUUGGUGUUACUGCGAAGGGGGGACGGAGAAGGCUAUGUUGGCCGGGCGACGGUUGUCCCGGUUUAAGCGUGUAGGCUGGUUUUCCAGGCAAAUCCGGAAAAUCAAGGCUGAGGCGUGAUGACGAGGCACUACGGUGCUGAAGCAACAAAUGCCCUGCUUCCAGGAAAAGCCUCUAAGCAUCAGGUAACAUCAAAUCGUACCCCAAACCGACACAGGUGGUCAGGUAGAGAAUACCAAGGCGCUUGAGAGAACUCGGGUGAAGGAACUAGGCAAAAUGGUGCCGUAACUUCGGGAGAAGGCACGCUGAUAUGUAGGUGAAGUCCCUCGCGGAUGGAGCUGAAAUCAGUCGAAGAUACCAGCUGGCUGCAACUGUUUAUUAAAAACACAGCACUGUGCAAACACGAAAGUGGACGUAUACGGUGUGACGCCUGCCCGGUGC
rnacentral:rRNA from 1 species